AAGGAAGGCUGAACGAAGGAACAGUCUGAGAACCACUGUUCUGGAUACACCUUUCCGGUUGCUGUUCAAAAUCGGAUUUGGGAGCCUUUGGUUUUAAAACUUUUUAUUCAUUUUGUAUCCUGUUUUUCUCCUCAAAUUAGAUAGCAACACAUCUGAGAUUGAAAACAGUACAAAUAAGGCCACAUAUGUUAUGUUUUUAAAACACGAUUCAACAAAUUGUAGUGAAUUAAGAAAAAAAGUCAGCAUCCUCCUGUUGUCAGGCUUCUCUUGUGCAGGCAGUCAGUUGCCAAAAGCUCAGGAGAACAACCUUUCCUUUGCUUGCAGGUGGAAGGAGGACAGCACGAAAAGGAACCUAGCCUUCUUUGGUUUCACAGCUUGACUGUAAAGACUGAGGAAUGGGGGAAGAAAAGAAAUGACCAUACAGAAAUCUAGAGCAGCCCGUUUGGACCACAAGAAGAUCCAACCAGUCCAUACUCCAGGAAAUAAUGCCCGACUGCUAACUGGAGGGAAGGAUAUUAGAGGCAAAGAUGAAGUAUUUUGGCCACAUAAUGAGAAGACAGGAAGGCUUGGAGAAGAGAAUGAUGCUGGGGAAAAUAGAAGGGAAAGGAAGAGGGGCCGACAGGGAGCUUUGGCAUGGGCUGAUCCAUGAGGUCAUGAAGAGUUGGAAGUGACUGAACAAAUAAACAACAGAUAUAUUUCUCUGAAUGAAUCUUAUAUGUUUAGGAAGCUGAAUGCCCAAAAGCUUUCUAGUAACUACCGUGUUUCCCUGAAAAUAAGACAGUGUCUUAUAUUAAUUUCUUCUCCCAAAGAUGCACUAGGUCUUAUUUUCAGGGGAUGUCUUAUUUUUCCAUGAAGAAGAAGGUAAAGGUAAAGGUUUUCCGCUGACGAUAAGUCCAGUCGUGACCGACUCUGGAGGUUGGUGCUCAUCUCCAUUUCGAAGCCGAAGAGCCGGCGUCCGUAGACACCUCCAAGGUCAUGUGGCCGGCAUGACUGCAUGGAGCGCCGGAGCGGUACCUAUUGAUCUACUCACAUUUGCAUGUUUUUGAACUGCUAGGUUGGCAGGAGCUGGGGCUAACAGCAAGCGCUCAUUCCACUCCCGGGAUUUGAACCUGGCAUCUUUUGGUCCGCAAGUUCAGCAGCUCAGCGCUUUAACACACUUUGCCACCAGGAGCCCCUCCAUGAAGAAGAAUUCACAUUUAUUGUUGAACAAAAAAUGAACAUUUAUUAUAUAUUGUACAGUGAUUGUCACCACAAACCAGCAUAACCAGACAAACUAUGAAUCCUAUCAAGAAUUUCUGGUUGCUACUAUUAUUUCCAUGUAUAACAAUCUAUGGUACGUACAUUUACCAAUCCUGCAUGCUCUGGUGUUCUGUUUGGUGGGCAUGCUUCCAAACAAAAACUUUGCUAGGUCUUACUUUUGGGGGAGGCUUUAUAUUUAGCAAUUCAGCAAAACCUCUAUUAGGUCUUAUUUUCAGGGGAUGUCUUAUUCUCAGGGAAACAGGGUAAGGCAGAAAACCUAAAUCCUAUACUGACAGCAGAUGUUUUAAUUUAGCACUGUUAUAAUGGCAUGCGUAAUUGAGAUUUCGUGUUGUAUCUGAUCUUGUCAUUUCUUUAAAGCCAAUGGCAAAAAUAGCUCAUCUAACUAUGAAAUGUCAGUGGAAUGUUUAACUUUUUUCUAUUGACAGUAAUAAUGUCAAGGUUGGAAGAUUUCAGAAAAUAGUACUCUGUUAGCAAGUGCACAUCCUUUUCAAUCAACAUUGAAAGAUGGUCUGCUAAGCUUGCAGAGAAUGCCACGAAGGACAACCUGUCUCUGUGUAUAUAACUUUCAUGCCUGUUAAGAUCUUAGUUGUAGGGGUGGCUCACUCCGAAGAUUUUUUUUUUCGUGACUUGAAUCGCUUCUGGAGUGGGAGAAUUGGCCGUCUGCAAGGACGUUGCCCAGGGGACGCCCGGAUGUUUUGAUGUUUUUACCAUCCUUGUGGGA
rnacentral:lncRNA from 1 species